rnacentral:misc_RNA from 1 species
CCGAACUGCUUUCCCCACGUUCGAUCAGUCCUUGCUCCACGAGCUAACGUUGGAUGCAAAAUGUUGGGUUCCUGUGCUGCGUACCUAUCGAGAUGGAAAUUCGUCCCUUUCGGUUGUCCCUUUCAUCAGUGCAUCCUCUUGGAUGCUCGGUUGAACUAAGAUAGAAGGGCUCGAUCUCCACGGACGCCCCAUGCGAUCGUCCCGAUGGAGCUCGAGCGCCUUCUUGUCCUCUCGGAUGCGGAAUUUGCCUUACGGGCGUGGGGUCAAAGGCCCUUGGACCCGAAUGUUGAAGCGUAAGUCGCUCAACAAUGGAAUGACGCUCUUGCCUUGUCCUUGAUCACGUGGAGCCCUCGGGCUUACCACAAAGGAUCAUGCUCGGCGGACGUCGUGAAGGAAUGC